AUUAAACGCUGGCGGCAGGCCUAACACAUGCAAGUCGAGCGGUUGACGGGAGCUUGCUCCCUGAUUCAGCGGCGGACGGGUGAGUAAUGCCUAGGAAUCUGCCUAUUAGUGGGGGACAACGUUUCGAAAGGAACGCUAAUACCGCAUACGUCCUACGGGAGAAAGCAGGGGACCUUCGGGCCUUGCGCUAAUAGAUGAGCCUAGGUCGGAUUAGCUUGUUGGUGAGGUAAUGGCUCACCAAGGCGACGAUCCGUAACUGGUCUGAGAGGAUGAUCAGUCACACUGGAACUGAGACACGGUCCAGACUCCUACGGGAGGCAGCAGUGGGGAAUAUUGGACAAUGGGCGAAAGCCUGAUCCAGCCAUGCCGCGUGUGUGAAGAAGGUCUUCGGAUUGUAAAGCACUUUAAGUUGGGAGGAGGGGUUGUAGAUUAAUACUCUGCAAUUUUGACGUUACCGACAGAAUAAGCACCGGCUAACUCUGUGCCAGCCGCCGCUGUAA
rnacentral:rRNA from 1 species